rnacentral:rRNA from 1 species
AUGUACGCAAUUACCAGGCGCCCGGCCCGGACGGGUCCAGCCCAAACAGCCCAACCCAAACGCAACAACGCCUUCAGUGUCGCCACUCCUCUUAGCGUCGCCUUCUCCAAAUCGCCGAAACCCCCAAUUCAUUCAGCACCCACCCAUCUGCAGGUCGCACGCAUCCAUCCCGUACCUGUCCGACGAGGGAGAAAAAAAAUGCUGCGCCACGCCGUCCGCCGCCUCGCCUCCCGCGCCGCCGCUGCCGGCAGCGGCUCCAUGAGCCGCAGGGCCCUCGCGACGGCGCAGGCGCCCGCGGAGGCGGGCGAGGACCCCGCCUUCCUGGAGGCGUGGAAGAAGGUGACCACAAUCAUCGAGCCCCCCCAGACGCCCAUGUCGGCCAUGAAGCCCCGCCCGCCCACGCCGGCCUCCAUUCCCUCCAAGCUCACCGUCAACUUCGUCCUCCCCUACAAGUCCGAGAUCACCAACAAGGAGGUUGACAUGGUAAUGGUACCGGCUACAACUGGCCUGAUGGGUAUUUUGCCAGGCCAUGUUUCCACAAUUGCAGAGCUCAAGCCUGGUGUUAUGUCUGUACAUGAGGGAAAUGAUGUUACAAAGUACUUUGUGAGCAGUGGCUUUGCAUUCAUCCAUGCAAACUCCAUUACUGAUGUUGUGGCUGUUGAGGCUGUCCCCCUUGAUCAGAUUGACCAAAGCUUGGUCCAGAAAGGUCUUGCUGAAUUCACUGCCAAGCUUGGAUCAGCCUCGACUGACCUAGAGAAGGCGGAAGCUCAGAUCGGAGUGGAUGUUCACAGUGCGCUCAAUGCUGCAUUGACUGGUUGA